GACGAACGCUGGCGGCGUGCUUAACACAUGCAAGUCGAACGCUGAAGCUUGGUGCUUGCACUGGGUGGAUGAGUGGCGAACGGGUGAGUAAUACGUGAGUAACCUGCCCUUGACUCUGGGAUAAGCCUGGGAAACUGGGUCUAAUACUGGAUAUGACAUGCCACUGCAUGGUGGUGUGUGGAAAGGGUUUUACUGGUUUUGGAUGGGCUCACGGCCUAUCAGCUUGUUGGUGGGGUAAUGGCCUACCAAGGCGACGACGGGUAGCCGGCCUGAGAGGGUGACCGGUCACACUGGGACUGAGACACGGCCCAGACUCCUACGGGAGGCAGCAGUGGGGAACAUUGCACAAUGGGCGGAAGCCUGAUGCAGCGACGCCGCGUGAGGGAUGACGGCCUUCGGGUUGUAAACCUCUUUCAGCACGGAAGAAGCGAGAGUGACGGUACGUGCAGAAGAAGCGCCGGCUAACUACGUG
rnacentral:rRNA from 1 species